CGAAGAAGAAGAAGAAGAGGACGGCGUCGUAUCGUCCUCGAAGGAGAAAGAUGGGGGUGGGGGUUUGACAAGAAACAAGUUCUCCAUGAGUUCAUUAGAAGACUCGCUUCUAAACAAGUAAUUAAAUUACUGUCAAUAUUAAUUUUUUCCAUUAUUUAUUUCGAGAAAUUAGUUAGUAUGCAUGUGGUGUGAUGUGAUGUGAUAUCUAUGAAUGAAUGAAUGAAUGAAUGAAUGAAUGAACCAACGGCAGGAGAGGAUUAUCGAAUCACUACGGCGGGAAAUCGAAGUCGUUUGGGAAUUUAGCAGAGGUAGUGGAGAGCAGCGGCGGGGCAGCCAAGCAAGUACUGGAGAAGGAAGAGAAUCCGUUCAAUAAGAGGAGGAGGAUUUUGAUUGCCAACAGAUUGUCCCGCAAAUUAUUCUAUUCCACUCCCACGCACCGUAACCGUAAAUCCAUGCCUCUCCUCCCCGUACUUCACGACGACGACGACGACGACGACGAAGAAGAAACUGAAGGAGGAGGAGGAGGAGGAGGAGAUAUUGACAAACAUCAACAACAACGACACGACGAUGACGACGAACACCAGCUGCAGCAGCAGCAGCAGUAUCAAUAUGGGAGCAGGCUUAAACUCAUGAUCAACAACAGCAUGCGUUACAAGUCCCACAGUUGCUUCUGUCUUGCAGAUCUAGGCGAGGAGGAAGAAGAAGAAGAAGAAG
rnacentral:lncRNA from 1 species